CCUACGGGAGGCUGCAGUAGGGAAUUUUCCACAAUGGGCGCAAGCCUGAUGGAGCAACACCGCGUGAGUGAAGAAGGGUUUCGGCUCGUAAAGCUCUGUUGUUGGGGAAGAACGUGCGUGAGAGGAACUGUUCAAGCAGUGACGGUAUACAAACAGAAAGGCACGGCUAACUACGUGCCAGCAGCCGCGGUAAUACGGAGGGUGCAAGCGUUAUCCGGAUUUAUUGGGCGUAACGCGAGCGCAGGCGGUUUCUUAGGUCUGAUGUGAAAGCCUUCGGUUUAACCGAAGAAGUGCAUCGGAAACCGGGCGACUUGAGUGCAGAAGAGGACAGUGGAACUCCAUGUGUAGCGGUGGAAUGCGUAGAUAUAUGGAAGAACAGCAGUGGCGAAGGCGGCUGUCUGGUCUGCAACUGACGCUGAGGCUCGAAAGCAUGGGUAGCGAACAGGAUUAGAUACCCCAGUAGUC
rnacentral:rRNA from 1 species